UCAGAACGAACGCUGGCGGCAGGCUUAACACAUGCAAGUUGAACGGGAUUGCUAAGUGCUUGCACGGAGCAAUGAGAGUAGCGCACUGGUGAGUAACACGUGGGAACAUGCCUUUUGGUGGGGGACAACAGAGGGAAACUUCUGCUAAUACCGCAUAAGCCCUAAGGGGGAAAGAUUAAUUGCCGAAAGAUUGGCCCGCGGAAGAUUAGGUAGUUGGUGGGGUAAAGGCCUACCAAGCCGACGAUCUAUAGCUGGUCUGAGAGGACGAACAGCCACAUUGGAACUGAGACACGGUCCAGACUCCUACGGGAGGCAGCAGUGAGGAAUAUUGGGCAAUGGAGGAAACUCUGACCCAAGCCAUGCCGCGUGAGUGAAGAAGGUUUUCGAAUUGUAAAGCUCUUUCGGAUACGAGGAUGAUGACGGUAGUAUCUAAAGAAGCCCCGGCAAACUUCGUGCCAGCCGCUGC
rnacentral:rRNA from 1 species